rnacentral:rRNA from 1 species
GAUGAACGCUGGCGGCGUGCCUAAUACAUGCAAGUCGAGCGAACGGACGAGAAGCUUGCUUCUCUGAUGUUAGCGGCGGACGGGUGAGUAACACGUGGAUAACCUACCUAUAAGACUGGGAUAACUUCGGGAAACCGGAGCUAAUACCGGAUGAUAUUUUGAACCGCAUGGUUCAAAAGUGAAAGACGGUCUUGCUGUCACUUAUAGAUGGAUCCGCGCUGCAUUAGCUAGUUGGUAAGGUAACGGCUUACCAAGGCAACGAUGCAUAGCCGACCUGAGAGGGUGAUCGGCCACACUGGAACUGAGACACGGUCCAGACUCCUACGGGAGGCAGCAGUAGGGAAUCUUCCGCAAUGGGCGAAAGCCUGACGGAGCAACGCCGCGUGAGUGCUGAAGGUCUUCGGAUCGUAAAACUCUGUUAUUAGGGAAGAACAUAUGUGUAAGUAACUGUGCACAUCUUGACGGUACCUAAUCAGAAAGCCACGGCUAACUACGUG